AGAGUUUGAUCCUGGCUCAGGACGAACGCUGGCGGCGUGCUUAACACAUGCAAGUCGAACGGACUGAGUUGAUAGCUUGCUAUUGAUGAGGUUAGUGGCAAACGGGUGAGUAACGCGUAGGCAACCUGCCCUUCAGAUGGGGACAACACUCCGAAAGGGGUGCUAAUACCGAAUGACGUUUUCUGGUCGCAUGACCGGGAAACCAAAGGCCGGGCAACCGGUCACUGAAGGAUGGGCCUGCGUCUGAUUAGCUGGUUGGUGGGGUAACGGCCCACCAAGGCGACGAUCAGUAGCCGGUCUGAGAGGAUGAACGGCCACAUUGGGACUGAGACACGGCCCAAACUCCUACGGGAGGCAGCAGUGGGGAAUCUUCCGCAAUGGGCGCAAGCCUGACGGAGCAACGCCGCGUGAGUGAAGAAGGUUUUCGGAUCGUAAAGCUCUGUUGAGAGGGACGAGAGAUAUAAUCAGGAAAUGGGUUAUAGAGGACGGUACCUUUCGAGGAAGCCACGGCUAACUACGUGCCAGCAGCCGCGGUAAUACGUAGGUGGCGAGCGUUGUCCGGAAUUAUUGGGCGUAAAGGGAGCGCAGGUGGGAAAGUAAGUCAGUCUUAAAAGUUCGGGGCUCAACCCCGUGAUGGGAUUGAAACUACUUUUCUUGAGUGCAGGAGAAGAAAGCGGAAUUCCUAGUGUAGCGGUGAAAUGCGUAGAUAUUAGGAGGAACACCAGUGGCGAAGGCGGCUUUCUGGACUGUAACUGACACUGAGGCUCGAAAGCGUGGGGAGCGAACAGGAUUAGAUACCCUGGUAGUCCACGCCGUAAACGAUGAAUGCUAGGUGUAGGAGGUAUCGACCCCUUCUGUGCCGGAGUUAACGCAAUAAGCAUUCCGCCUGGGGA
rnacentral:rRNA from 1 species